AGCGUGUUGUGGAGCAGGAGGACGAUUUGCCAAUGACUGAGUGUCUUCCAGGGAUUCCUGAUCCAAUGGUCAGGCAUUUGACAGGAUCCAGCUUUUCACUUCUGAUCUACUGUAAGUUAUGGAAUCUGGCUAAUAGGAACAAAUCUGGAUGAGCUGGUUUAUGGAACAAUAAACACAGCAGUUUUAGCAGAUGUAUGGAGGCUGGAUUUGAUGGCUUCUGGCACAUCAGGCUCUCACUCAGGAAGCCCCUGAGCGAGGCAGCGCCGUGUGAACACGAGGAAGGAACUAAAGAGCACUCCUGAAAACUACCUCCUGGAAUGUAAAAAUUCUGAUCUUCGGGAAAGUAAAGGAACUGCUGUGUGAGAUGAAAAAUGUCAAUAUAUUUGGAG